rnacentral:rRNA from 1 species
CCUACGGGUGGCAGCAGUGAGGAAUAUUGGUCAAUGGGCGCGAGCCUGAACCAGCCAAGUCGCGUGAGGGAAGACGGUCCUAUGGAUUGUAAACCUCUUUUGUCGGGGAGCAAAAGACGCCACGCGUGGCGUUCCGAGAGUACCCGAAGAACAAGCAUCGGCUAACCCCGUGCCAGCAGCCGCGAUAAUACGGAGGAUGCGAGCGUUAUCCGGAUUUAUUGGGUUUAAAGGGUGCGCAGGCGGAAGAUCAAGUCAGCGGUAAAAUUGAGAGGCUCAACCUCUUCGAGCCGUUGAAACUGGUGUUCUUGAGUGAGUGAGAAGUAUGCGGAAUGCGUGGUGUAGCGGUGAAACGCAUAGAUAUCACGCAGAACUCCGAUUGCGAAGGCAGCAUACCGGCGCUCAACUGACGCUCAUGCACGAAAGUGUGGGUAUCGAACAGGAUUAGAUACCCUGGUAGUC